GAGUUUGAUCAUGGCUCAGAUUGAACGCUGGCGGCAGGCCUAACACAUGCAAGUCGAGCGGAUGAAGGGAGCUUGCUCCCUGAUUCAGCGGCGGACGGGUGAGUAAUGCCUAGGAAUCUGCCUGGUAGUGGGGGACAACGUCUCGAAAGGGACGCUAAUACCGCAUACGUCCUACGGGAGAAAGCAGGGGACCUUCGGGCCUUGCGCUAUCAGAUGAGCCUAGGUCGGAUUAGCUAGUUGGUGAGGUAAUGGCUCACCAAGGCUGCGAUCCGUAACUGGUCUGAGAGGAUGAUCAGUCACACUGGAACUGAGACACGGUCCAGACUCCUACGGGAGGCAGCAGUGGGGAAUAUUGGACAAUGGGCGAAAGCCUGAUCCAGCCAUGCCGCGUGUGUGAAGAAGGUCUUCGGAUUGUAAAGCACUUUAAGUUGGGAGGAAGGGCAGUAAGCUAAUACCUUGCUGUUUUGACGUUACCGACAGAAUAAGCACCGGCUAACUUCGUGCCAGCAGCCGCGGUAAUACGAAGGGUGCAAGCGUUAAUCGGAAUUACUGGGCGUAAAGCGCGCGUAGGUGGUUUGUUAAGUUGGAAGUGAAAGCCCCGGGCUCAACCUGGGAACUGCUUUCAAAACUGGCAAGCUAGAGUAUGGCAGAGGGUGGUGGAAUUUCCUGUGUAGCGGUGAAAUGCGUAGAUAUAGGAAGGAACACCAGUGGCGAAGGCGACCACCUGGGCUAAUACGACACGAGUGAAAGGGAA
rnacentral:rRNA from 2 species